GCAUCGUAUGUCCCCGCUCCCCCAAUUAACCCAGUAAGCGCUACGCAACCGCUUCGUCCCCGCUCGCCCCCGUGACCCCACCCGCUCGCCUUCGCUGCUCGCUGCUGCCGCCGCUCGCCCCCACAGCAGCUCUACCCCAGCCCGCUCGCCCUCGCCUCCCUACUUCUCUCCGGCGACGCAUCUUCGGGACAGGACGAUUCGGGCCGGCGACGCAGCUUCGGGAGAGGAUGAGAGAAGAGGGGAGGAAAAAGAGAGGCCUGGAGGCGUGCUCCGACGGCUGUGUGGCGCGCAGAAUUGGAUCGGGGUGCUUCCCCACAGCCGCAGCCGCAGCCGACUAGCGACACCACAUGCCCAAAAUCAGGUAGAGGAUCGAUCAUCCAGUUCCCGUUCCGCGGUCCGCCGGCAUCGCCGACGUCGUUUCUUUUGGUCCCGGGCAAAACGUCGCAGGGCUUCGCGGAGGACACCUCGGCCGCGGAGGAGGAUGGCGACCUGAGGAACCUGAUGCGCUGUCGCAGCCACCUCGUCCAGACCUACUCGGACAAGAAGGGCGACGCGGCCGCGCGCGGGAACCUACUCCGGGAGCUCGUCGUCGUCACCCCGCGCUUCGCCGAGGCGGCCGGACGCCAUCGGCUCUGCUUCGCGUGGCGGGACGCCGGGAUGCCAUCGGCUCUGCUUCGCGUAGAGGACACACGAGGGGCCGACGGGAUACGACGCGCGUGCGCCGCGCUCUGCAAUGAGACGGGCCUGCUGAGAGCAGCGUCGGAGGGGGAAGGGGGAGGAGACGGUGCGGUGGGUUGCCAGCUGCGGCACAUGUCUGAUGCGUGCAUGGUGGCGUUCGAGGCGUUGAUGCUCGCGCAGGCCCUUGAGUUCUACUUCGAGCUCGCCGUCGCGCCAAGAACCUUCAGUCAUGAGGCCACCGUGACGGAGGACUUCCAUCUCAGGAUUAUUGUUUUUCCAUGAUAAUACGUGUGUUGCACGUGUACGGUUACUAGCUUAAACAAAUAGAUUGCUUGAGGCAGGAACAGGGAAACAAUUUAUGUGGAUACUAUGUUUGCGAGUUCAUUCGUCAGACGAGUCAUGAGACGGGCAAAAACCGGGACAUAAAAAAAUUAAAAUCAAACGAUUGCGGGGCGGUCUUCUACCACAUGAACAUGUACGAGCAAUUCAAGAGAAAAUUGUCGGAUUCUUAGAUGCAGAGGUCCUAGAUGUCAAGGAGAAUACUAUUGCCCG